rnacentral:rRNA from 1 species
GACGAACGCUGGCGGCGUGCUUAACACAUGCAAGUCGAACGGAAAGGCCUGCUUUCCCUUGUGGAUUGCGGGUACUCGAGUGGCGAACGGGUGAGUAACACGUGAGUGAUCUGCCCCCAACUUGGGUAUAAGCCUGGGAAACGGGUCCAAAUUCCCGUAGGGACGCCGGGGGGUGGCCGUUGUGGGAAAAGGAUUUCCAAGGGGUGGGGGUUGAGCCCGCGGCCUAUCAGCUUGUUGGUGGGGUAAUGGCCUACCAAGGCGGCGACGGGUAGCCGGCCUGAGAGGGUGGACGGCCACAUUGGGACUGAGAUACGGCCCAGACUCCUACGGGAGGCAGCAGUGGGGAAUAUUGCACAAUGGGCGGAAGCCUGAUGCAGCGACGCCGCGUGGGGGAUGACGGCCUCCGGGUUGUAAACUCCUUUCGACCGCGAGGAAGCCACCUGGUUGGAAGGGUGGUGACGGUAGUGGUAGAAGAAGCACCGGCUAACUACGUG